CAGUGAUUUCAGCUCUUUUAGAAUUUGUCCAGUAAGGUUUCCCGCGCCCGCGGGAAGCCGCC
rnacentral:snRNA from 1 species